GAAUGUGAGGAUGAUGUAGCAAUGAUAUCUGUCACCACAUUGGUCACCAGGGUUGGCUCAAUGGAUCUGGAGGGCUAGGUGGGUAUCCUCUCCCCCCUUCAGUGCUUCAAAUAUAUCCCUCUGAAUUUGUGUAACUAGAGAAAACUACCUUUGCAGAAGAGAAACUGAUCUUUAUUUCCAUGCUAGAGCUUCUAACCAAGAUCUCAAGAACCUCCAAAAUAUAUUCAUUAGUAGUAUACAGCCAUUCUUUUUUAAUUUUGAACAAGGUACAUUCAUUUAUUUCUUUUGUUGUGGGUGGUGGUAUUUUUU
rnacentral:snRNA from 1 species